rnacentral:rRNA from 1 species
CAGCAGCCGCGGGAAUACGAAGGGGGCUAGCGUUGUUCGGAUUUACUGGGCGUAAAGCGCACGUAGGCGGAUCGAUCAGUCAGGGGUGAAAUCCCAGAGCUCAACUCUGGAACUGCCUUUGAUACUGUCGAUCUGGAGUAUGGAAGAGGUGAGUGGAAUUCCGAGUGUAGAGGUGAAAUUCGUAGAUAUUCGGAGGAACACCAGUGGCGAAGGCGGCUCACUGGUCCAUUACUGACGCUGAGGUGCGAAAGCGUGGGGAGCAAACAGGAUUAGAUACCCGGGUAGUCCUGUCUCUUAUACA